CCUCUGUUCCUGCUUGGAACCCUUUGCUAGCUUCCCUCAAAGAUGGCCUUUGGCAUCCAAUAAGCCCCCUUCUCCCCCAUACUUACUUUGUGUGAUGAACAAGAGAACUUCGGUGUUGGCCAACUCUUUCCCUGCCUCCCAGCCAAGUAGCUAGCUCUUUUUUGUCUAUAACUGUUGUAUUCACCAUCUAGUCUUCAUUCCUCAUAGAUAAUUUAAUGCUUUCUUAAUACUUCUGGUGGUAAAUAUCACCAAGAAUACUUGUUAAAAUUAUAGACUCAUAGGUAAGACCUAUGGAGGCAGACUCCACAAGGAACAGAUUUUCUUGCCAGAGAAUUUGGGAGAGCUAGGGCUAUUGAUGAUUUUUCAGUGUCCUUUUAUGCUAACAAAGCACAUUCAUGAAUCUUUCCACAAAUGCCUCAAAUAUGCUCACUGUUUUAUGUUCCAGAACAAGGGGCCCCUUGGAGUUAAAUGUUGACUCUGGGCCAGAAAUGGCUUCUUGUCCCGAGCCUCCCCACCAGGACCUACUGCCUUCCAGAAGCUUCUGGUAAUGAUGGAAAUAGUGCUAUCAAGAAAGUCUCUUGCAAGCAAAGAGGAGAGAGACAGAUAUGAUGAAAUCCCUGAGAGCACACUAGAGGUUGUGAAACAAGAGAAAUCCUGAGGUUGCUCAAGAUGCAGGUUCUAGAGACAACCUGAAUGUCUUGGGUUCGGCCUCUUCUUCUGUCUUCAAACCAGCCCCACUAGGCCAAGUCCUUCUCUUGCUGCCAACCCUGAGCUUGCUCCCAUUGCUACACCCAGGGCCACAGCCGGACAGCCCGGACAGAUCCUUAGCUCCUGUAGGCUCAUAUGAUUAGGAUAGUGCAUUCACUCCAUCUGUGCAUUGAGCAUCCAUUAUGUGCCAGGUGCUAAGAUUGCCGAUUAUUCUUCCUUUAAGAUGUUUCUAGUCCAAGCAGACAGACUUAUCAAUCACCAAAUGCAAUAUAGUAUGCAAGGACAAUGGGAGAGAAAAGGAUGAGGUUCAGUGGGUCCUGGGUUCAGCACCUGUGUAUUUCAGGAAUUGUUGAUCAAAACUAUUUAGAAAAAAAUUUGUAUUGAAUAGGUGCAGCCUUAUGUUCUUGUCAUUAUUUCUUGUGCUGUACAGCUAACUACAGAGCACUUACGUUAGAUACUGUAAGUAAUCUAAAGGUGAUGGUUUGAAGAAUACAAGAGGAUGACGUACGUUAAAUGCAAAUGUUAUACCGUUCUAUAGGAAAGGCUUGAGCAUCUGUGUAUUUUGAUGUCUGCAGAGGUCCCAGAACUAAUCGUCCACCAAGACCAAGUGAUGACUGCAUAGACAAGGGACCUUUAAGGCAAUACGGGAAAACAGAAGGCAUGAUGGCUAAGGUGAUGCUCAGGCUACCUAAGGAAGAAUAAGAAGCAUCUAGCCAAGGGAGCAGACAGAGGAACGGUGCUAGCGUCGUGACUUUUGUUUCUGUGGAAGCAAGAACUGGGACCGUGUGUUUCUGAGUACUUCAAAAUGAGUCCAACUCUUGAUCCAGCAAUUCCAGUUCUAGAAAUUUAUUCUAAGGAAGUGAGCAGACAUACACAUAAAGAUUUAUGGGCACAGAUGCUCAUUGCCGUGUGAUUUAUAAUAAUAAAAAAUUAGAAACAGCCUCAAUGUUUAUAGUAAAUUGGAUAAAUGAAUCCAUAUGAUGAAAUAUAAUGUAGCCCUUAAAAGCCGUCUUAAAUGAGGGGAAAGUACUCACAUCGAAUUAAGCAGGGAAAAGUAGUUUAAAAUGUGACCUCAAUAUGGUAAAAUUGGACACAAAGCAGGCCAAAAUGAAUACUAUGUAUGUAAGUUAUGCACAAUGAAAGACUUGAAUAAAAUAUAUAAAAAUGAUCAGGGGCCAGAUUUUAGGGGAUAAAUGCAUUCAUUGAGCACUACUUCUAUGCUGGGCACUGUUCUAAGAACUUUAUGUAGACGAAUUGAUGAAUUAAUCUGCACAACUCCCUAUGAGAUAGACAUUCUGAUAAUCUUCCACCUCACUGACGAGGAAGCUGAGGCCCAGCAAAGUUAAUGAACAUGGCUAAGGUCCCUAAACAGCGAGUGCCAGAAGUUGGAUUUGAAUGCAGGCAAUCUCCAUACAGACUACUAAUGCCCAAAGAGAUGCUCACACCUGGUGAGAGGAGACCUUUCUCAGGACAACAGCAUCUUAGAAAGCCAGCUUCCUAGCUGACAUAAGGCUAUGUUGGACUGAGACAGGAAAGUUAAUGUCUCAGGUAUGUUGGGUCUCCUGGUCCUGCGAGAUUCUCAGGAUGUCCUGUGAACAUCCUGCUGACCUGUGAAUCUUUAUGUUUCUAUUUCUUUGAUGUUCAUUUCUGGGCAAAGGACCCUUGGGUGCAAUGAGGAAUUGCGCUUCUGCAUGGAGCUGAGAGGGUAUGUGUGUACAAAGUUGUUUCCCGUGGUGUAAAAUUUCUUGUACCUCUCUGUUAUUGUUUUUCUUGAUGUCAAGGAAGAAAAACUUCAAUAUUUAAAUGGUUAUAUGUAGAAAAAAUAGUUUGCAAAAGAGCCUUGUCAUAGCUUUUAUUAUAUUGAAAACGUGGGUGGACAAGCUCCCAUGUGAAAAGCUUUAAGGCUUUGCCCAUUGGUAAAAUCUUUUUCUCUGAGUCAGUGUGGGCUACAGAGACCCAAGUCCAAGCCAGAUGGUGAAAUUAGCUGAUUGAUCGGCAUAAGCUGACAGAUAUUUCAGGGAAAGACGAGUCAUUGACAUUCACUAGCUUGGUCAAGUUCAAAAGUGAUCCACUACUUUUGUGCCAGGCUAUCCCAUCUGGCCCAGAUAUGUUCUCCUCCAUGGGAAUUCUUCAGCCUAUCUAAAAAGUAAAUCACUUGUCAGAGAAGCAGACUUCAGGCUUUGGGCCAGAAAGUUUCUUUCAGCUCUAGUGUAGGGAGACAAAAGCUGAGGUAAAAAUUGCAAUGACAGUAAUAAUAGCAUCUAGUUCAUUGUUGAAUCGUAUUUACCUAAGGAUGGAAAGAACCAAAGACUACACUGAAGACGUGGCCGGUUGUCCUUGUCACAGAGGGCCCUUGUUUUAUCGGCCAACUUGGAAUCUGCUCCAUAUAUUGUGUUUGCAGUGGAAUAAGACCAGUAGAAUCACAAGGCUGUUCCCCCUCCUCCCCAUUCCCAGCAAAAGGCAUUAUGGGAAAUAGAAGGUCAUAAGGGCCAGUUAAUGCUUAGACAAUGUGGUACUGAUAUGGAUAUCCAAUAUGAGUCAGAAAAAACCUGGCUGACUCUGGAACCCCGGGGCCUGUGAGUCACCAUAAAGUGACUAACACUGGAUGUCUGAGACCCCAAAAGUAAACAAAAGCUAUUAUACAACUAUUUUUCACAGAGUGCCCUUUUUUUUUUUAUGUGAUUCUGUAUAAAGAGGGCCUCGAGGUCAGAGGCCUGAGUCUCUGUUUUUGUCUUCUCCAGCCUACCUGUGUGUGUUUGCCUGUAAGCCUGUGAGCUGCCUGCCUGUGUGCAGCCCAUGUGUACCAGCUGUGUGUGGGUGCUGAAGGGCGGCUGCCUGCUUAGUCAGCUCUACUCCAAGUGAGUAAAGAAGGCCUCAUCAGUGUACUAUUCCUCUAAUUAUCUCCAACCUCCCAACCUCCUGUGGUCCUUCUACUGUCCUGGGAUGGGAGCAUGGACCUCACAGGCAUGAGCCACUCAGCUUACAUAUGGGAAUUAAAGGUCUUAGUAUCCACACUAGCCAUGCCAGUGGAUACCUGGACGUUAGUUUUUCCACCUUGUGACUAAACUCGAUGCAUUUGGAUUGAGGAAGGGAAAAGGGCAGAGAAGCAAUACACAGAGAGACUGCUGUACCAGGAGCUGCCAUCACAGAAGAAAGUAUUCAUUGGGAGACCCAGGCAGCUCUGAGGGAGCAUCCAUUGACUCUGCUCCUGCCACCCAGUGAGGACAAGCCAUCAGCCAGAUGGUCCCCAGGGAUGUUUAGACUUAAGACACUGCUCAGCACCCAUUUGUCCUUUCAACUGUUUCCCACUGUGCUUAAAUUCAACAAUUACUUCUAUGAACACCUAUUUGCCACUACCGGCUCCUGGCUACCAUGUACCACCCAUUGUUCUGCAUCCAGGAAAUAAACUGGAUUGUAAUGUUGCA